rnacentral:lncRNA from 1 species
GGUAAACGGUCUUUCAACCGUUUACAUAGCAUGUCGAAAGAUGGAAUGUCGAAAGAUGGAAUGUCGAGAGACGGUCGGAAGAUGUCACCUAUGCACGUAACACUGAAAGAGGGUGUAAUUUUUUUUUUUUUUUGUAUUACGUCGUCUUUGACUUUUACCUACUUAGGGAAACUAAAACCGUAAAUGAAAAACAUAGAUUGCUCGCAAUUAAGGACCAAACCAUUCUAAUAUGGAAAGUGGUUAUUUUAGGACUUCUUAAAAAGGAGGCAAAGCCACAUAAAACAUUCAGUUCCCCACGGAGAGCUAGCCUGUUAGAAAGGUUUCGCUUAUCGGGGACGACUGACCGUUUGAAGGAAGAUAUCUAAAGAGAAGACUCUAGCGCGUAAAGAAAGCUAUGGAGGCGAAGCUUUGUUUGGUCCUGAUGUUGAUUAUUUUGGGCAUCCUUACCGUACAAGGAGCAAUGCCAAGAAACAAGAAGAAGAACCCCUUGGAAGUGCUUGAAAGGAGAAUUGUUUGUAAGAGUUCCUGUGAUCCAUUGAUAAAGAUAGUCUGUUCGUUUUUAAUUGAAAAUCUAACGGGUUAAAAAAGAAAAAAAAAUCAGUUUGUUCUGAACUAAAGAAAUAAAACUGCGUUUUCAACAUUCUCCUGCGUAGUGUGGACGCUUCAUUACAAGGAAAUUUACGGGGAGGGGAAGUUAAGACAGUUCUGCUAGGAAAGAGGUAAAUUUGCCAAACAAUAGGAAAAAAACUGUGUGAAAGCCGGUGCCUAUUUGUUGGUUAUGACGCGCAGGUCCCAGAUGAAUUGGAUGGAUGGAUGGAUGGAUGGAGGACUUUACUUAAACACGAUAGUUCCUUUCAGUAACAUUCAAAAAUUAUCGAGCAAAUCAAUUGGUUGUUUGUCCCUCAAGUUUUUCGGCCUACUGAAAAUUGUAACUCACAACUGUUGUCAGCAUAAACUAAUAUAGAUUCUUAAAUCUUACAAACUUCGCGAAGGGAAAAUGUAAGUCCACUUCAUUUGACAACAAAUGUGAACCACGAAAAUAGGUCGAAGAAACAAUCUCGCUUUUAAGGUCAGAGGUGACCCCAUUUUUCUUGUGAAUGAAAAUAAUCGGUAGGACAAGAACGGUGUUUGUACACUUUAUUGACUUCUAACUGUUUUUAAAACUAUAUACUUGUUCGCGUCCUAGCAGCAGUACGCGCAUAUGGCACAUGCCAUCACGUGUGGCACACGCGAUGGCGCAAUUUGUUCUAAAAUAGCAAAAUUCGUCUCCGUCCCCGAUUAUGGCUUCUUCUUUGUGUCAGCUAUAAAGGGUUACGUCCUCUUUCAUCAUGCUGUUUUUUUUCCUUCUGACUCAAACUAGCACUUGAACAAAGCUGACCAUUUCAUAAGUCUACGUUCACUUUUCCAUUGGGUCCUAGACUUUCAGAAAAGUCCGUCGUCUUCUUUAUUCAUUACCUGCCGGACCUUUCACGACUUCGUCGCCCACUCGGCCGCUUCGCGACCUUCACACCGCUUCGCUCGCUUAGCUAUUCUACCCUGAAACCUAUGACGUC